CUUUCUGCCCCUGGUGAAACUCCCCCACCCGCUUCCCUAUUCCUUAACUACAAAAUCCUCAGCUUUUGAAGCAUGUAAUCUGUGUUCUCCUGAACUCUGGCCAUUGCUGGUGGGUCCCGUACCCUGAUCAUGGUGCAGCCAGCUCUUGAGACAUCACCUCUCAGGGCACGGGAAGAAAAGCGUCCUUUGCAAACCUGGCGGGUCACCUGAUCACACCUGCGUGCUGUCUCAGGCUCCAGCCUCAGGAAACGCAAGCAAAUCAGUUUCUAUGACGGAAGCCACCCGCUGAGUGAUAUUCUACUAGGGCAGCCCCAGCUGACAAUGCAUCCCACAGUCGGGGCUGGUCUGACUCUGCGAAGGUUUCUUCAGGUGCUGGACUUUUAUACCACCAGAAGAGUGUACUGACAGAGGCUUUGAGAUACCGCGGACAUGACGUAUUCUAAUGUUAAGUGGGGUCGACAGGCUACAAAUCAUGGCUUCUAGCACAGCCUCAGCUAUGUCAGGAGAAAAAAAUCAUGCAAAAA